rnacentral:rRNA from 1 species
GACGAACGCUGGCGGCGUGCUUAAUACAUGCAAGUCAACUUGACUUUAGAUAGCAAUAUCGAAAAGUAGGGUGGCGCACGGGUGCGUAACGCGUAGGUAAUCUGCCCUGAGGUCUGACAUAACCCGUCGAAAGGCGGGCUAACAUCAGAUGAUAUAUAAUCACGACAUCGUGGAAAUAUCAAAUCUUCGGAGCCUUGGGAUGAGCCUGCGUCUGAUUAGGUAGUUGGCGGAGUAAUAGCCCACCAAGCCUACGAUCAGUAGCUGGUCUGAGAGGAUGAUCAGCCACACUGGAACUGAGACACGGUCCAGACUCCUACGGGAGGCAGCAGUAAGGAAUAUUGCUCAAUGGGGGAAACCCUGAAGCAGCAACGCCGCGUGAAGGAUGAAAUACUUUGUAUGUAAACUUCUGUAAGAUGGGAAAAAUAUUACUCCUCGGGAGAAUUGAUUGUACCAUCAGAGUAAGCCCCGGCUAACUACGUGCCAGCA